ensembl:snRNA U6 U6 spliceosomal RNA
GUGCUCGCUUUGGCAGCACAUAUACUAAAAUUGGAAUCAUACAGAGAAGAUUAACAUGGUCCCUGGGCAAGGAUGACAUACACAUUUAUGAAGCGUUCCAUAUUAGA